rnacentral:rRNA from 1 species
GAUGAACGCUGGCGGCGUGCUUAACACAUGCAAGUCGAACGGAAAGGCCCAAGCUUGCUUGGGUACUCGAGUGGCGAACGGGUGAGUAACACGUGGGUGAUCUGCCCUGCACUUCGGGAUAAGCCUGGGAAACUGGGUCUAAUACCGGAUAGGACCACUUCUUUGAUGUUGUGGUGGAAAGUUUUUUCGGUGUGGGAUGAGCUCGCGGCCUAUCAGCUUGUUGGUGGGGUAAUGGCCUACCAAGGCGUCGACGGGUAGCCGGCCUGAGAGGGUGUACGGCCACAUUGGGACUGAGAUACGGCCCAGACUCCUACGGGAGGCAGCAGUGGGGAAUAUUGCACAAUGGGCGCAAGCCUGAUGCAGCGACGCCGCGUGGGGGAUGACGGCCUUCGGGUUGUAAACUCCUAUCGCUAGGGACGAAGCGUUUUGUGACGGUACCUGGAGAAGAAGCACCGGCUAACUACGUG